AGAGUUUGAUCCUGGCUCAGGAUGAACGCUAGCUACAGGCUUAACACAUGCAAGUCGAGGGGCAGCAUUUUAGUUUGCUUGCAAACUGAAGAUGGCGACCGGCGCACGGGUGAGUAACACGUAUCCAACCUGCCGAUAACUCCGGAAUAGCCUUUCGAAAGAAAGAUUAAUACCGGAUAGCAUACGAAUAUCGCAUGAUAUUUUUAUUAAAGAAUUUCGGUUAUCGAUGGGGAUGCGUUCCAUUAGUUUGUUGGCGGGGUAACGGCCCACCAAGACUACGAUGGAUAGGGGUUCUGAGAGGAAGGUCCCCCACAUUGGAACUGAGACACGGUCCAAACUCCUACGGGAGGCAGCAGUGAGGAAUAUUGGUCAAUGGACGAGAGUCUGAACCAGCCAAGUAGCGUGAAGGAUGACUGCCCUAUGGGUUGUAAACUUCUUUUAUAUGGGAAUAAAGUGGUCCACGUGUGGAUUUUUGUAUGUACCAUAUGAAUAAGGAUCGGCUAACUCCGUGCCAGCAGCCGCGGUAAUACGGAGGAUCCGAGCGUUAUCCGGAUUUAUUGGGUUUAAAGGGAGCGUAGGCGGACGCUUAAGUCAGUUGUGAAAGUUUGCGGCUCAACCGUAAAAUUGCAGUUGAUACUGGGUGUCUUGAGUACAGUAGAGGCAGGCGGAAUUCGUGGUGUAGCGGUGAAAUGCUUAGAUAUCACGAAGAACUCCGAUUGCGAAGGCAGCUUACUGGAUUGUAACUGACGCUGAUGCUCGAAAGUGUGGGUAUCAAACAGGAUUAGAUACCCUGGUAGUCCACACAGUAAACGAUGAAUACUCGCUGUUUGCGAUAUACAGUAAGCGGCCAAGCGAAAGCGUUAAGUAUUCCACCUGGGGAGUACGCCGGCAACGGUGAAACU
rnacentral:rRNA from 1 species